UUCUUACAAAAGAAUGAUGGAGCAGGUGAGAGGGAGAAGUCGGCGAGGGGACAUCACCACGGGUUAUUCUCUUCAAAUGUUUGUUGCUAUUAGGCUAUUAUACGACCCUAUGUCCUUUUUUCUUUCAUCUUUCAACUUCUUUCCUUAUACAAUUUUCUGCUUUUUCACCUGGAAUGCACUUGGAUUAUUAUUAGAUAGAU
rnacentral:lncRNA from 1 species